rnacentral:lncRNA from 1 species
UAAGAAUACUGGAGUGGGUUGCCAUACCCUCCUCAAGGGGAUCUUCCUGAUCCAGGGGUCAAACCUGCGUCUCUUACAUCUCCCGCAUUGACAGGAGGGUUCUUUACCACUAGCGCCACCUGGGAAGCCCAAGGUAGGAUUUUAAAAAUGUGAGCUAUGGGUCAGACGAUACCUACAGUAGUUUCCAUCUCCUCCCUAAGAAUAUUCAUGUUUUCACCACAGUUAUUAACAUAAUUGACAACACAUAUUUUGGCAAUUUAAAAUAUUUUAUGCAAUUACAAAAUAAUCAUUCUUUUUCUUGCAACUUGAACUGUGUCUCAAUCUGACAUCUAUCAGUGCAAUUAAUUAUCUAUACUCAGAAUGUUUGCUCAGACCUGUUGAUAUUAUUAAAAUAUUUUAAACACAAGUAGUUACAAGUUCUUUAAAGAAUUUUAUAUAAUUACUUAAAAAUUCCAAGAAUGAGUUCACGGGGUCAUUUAAUGCUCAUGCAAUUUCCAAGACAUUUGAUUCCCUGCUCCAGGAAAGAAGGAUCUGUUCAAUUUCAUACCCCCAUCAUUUCCCUUCACUUUCCUACAGGUAUAUUUGAUAGUUAUUAUUUGUAUUUUGUUUACAGGAUAAUUUUAAAAAGUAUAUUUAAACCUCUAAAUUUUAUUUCAAUUGAUUUAAGUCAUGUCUCCCUAUUUCCCCAUUCCAGCCAUACCCUUCUAACCUCCCCUCUUUUUCCAAAAUUACUUCCUAGAUUCUGUCAGUUAUUCCUUUAUUACCAACUUGCUGGUUUUGUUUGUAGCUAUACUUUCUUCGUGUUUUAUCUAUAGAUUGAUCUUAACAGUGGGAAAUGAAUAAAGUACCAUUGAAUGGUUGUGGCUGAGUGAAUGCUGCUGUCUCGAGAGCUAAGGCAUGGCCAGGACUACAUUUUCUUUAUUUGAAUCCAGCAUGAACAUCCCUGGAUUGUCUCAAAGAAUCUGUCCCGAGAUCAUGGUUAAACUGAUUUUUAAUCACAGUCCUUCAAUUAUUACUGAAAUUAUGACAGGUUUUAAUUAGCUUUAUAUUUGCACUGUGAUGUUCUUACAUGGCUUUUGAUUUCUCCAUUGUUUCUAAGUGGGACUCACCCACUGGCCUCUGUAGCUCUAGGCUGUAGGGGGCAGGGGUGAUGCUGGCCAAGUUCCUCUUAUUCUCUCCAACGCAUCCAAAC